CAAACAAUUUUCACGUCUAAAACACAGCUUGCUCAGCCCUCUGGUUGGUGGUCCACUGUCUAAAAUUGCUUAUUAUCGGUUGAAACUAAGCAGCAAUGAAGUGAUGCAGAAUGUGGAGUUUGCUGCAUUGUAUUGCUUAAAGAGCAAAGUUGCUUUCCCAAGACUGGUGGCCACAGCUCUAGGCAUCCAGUGGAGCACGUGUCAAAGUUAUCUCUCAAGACUAAAUACGCACAGACUUCCUGCAGAAUAAGGAGCCUAUUCAGACUGCAGACUUACUGCACCAUGUGUGCCUCAUUAAUUAUUAUUCUUCAUGUUUUAAUUGUUAUUAUUUUACUGUGCCCAAGAGGAAUAUAGAUUUUAUGUCAUCUGUUAAAGACACAAUUAGAAGAACUAGGCUCAAAGGAGUAGCAGAGGCAGAUGGUAUACUGGCAGUUAAAUUUAUAAAACUCUUCUCUCAAGUCUUGCCAGGAAGCAGAAUAGCUUUCUGCUCUUUUUUUUUUUCUUUUGCUUUCAGGCAAACAGUUUAUUUCAAGAUGAGUUUGCUGUAUGUGAGAGGGUAGAGAAGUACGAUUGGGUUUCUCAUGAGUUCUGACAUUCAGAAAAAACCCACAAGAAGCUAAAAUUCUUUUGACUGAGUCACAAAUCAUUUAUUCAUAAAUUCUUGCCACAGAGGAACCUCCACCAGUUUCUAAACCAAAUAAUACGUGCCAUGUGUCCAGCUUCUUUUCUGUCUGUCACGUUUCUAGUUAACCUUGUUAACUGGGUUAGUGGAAAAACACUGGUAUAAUGUAACACAGGCAGUGACCUGCCAGAUGACCUAUGCAGAUCAGAUGAAGAAUAUCAAUUUCAGGGUUGAUUGGGGGUGUGAAUAGGACCACUACUGCUAAUAAAAACUAGGGAUUUUUUGCAAUCACAUCCCUCACAGAAAAGCAGUAGCCUUUGGAGGUACCAGGAGCUGAUCUGAACUGCAGAAUUUCUCCAGGAGACAUCUGAAUGAAAAAUGCACCAUAAGAUUGGAAUAUAGGAAAUGUCAGAAUCACUUGGCUUCUCCAUCCAAUCUGAGAUGACAAUGACAGCACAGCAAAUUGUAUCCCACAGGCUUCUCCUCAAGGUGGUGGGAAUUUGAUAAUGUUAACAUAAGUAUCUAAGCCACAUUAGAUACUGCAGGUCUCUUACUUGGCCCCCACCUGCAGAAUAAUAAGGGAGCUCCUAGUCCUACCACGUCUGUUCUAUGCGAAUGUCUGACACUCAGAAGAUCUGAAAUAUCAAUGAAAGUCUAUGUGCUUAGACAACUUAACUGCUUCUGGAGUGAGGGAAGUGGAACAAGGCAGCCCAUUACUUUCACUGAAGCCUGAGUCAGUGCCUUAGUUAAUUAAAAAGCUGACUCUUUUUUUUUAAUGAAGCAUCUUUUGAAUUAUUUGUAAUUUCAUUUUUCCUUGUCUUUUAUUUGAAUUAGUAUAUAUACAUUCCUGGCACCAUUUUCUUGCAGCUUCAGUUGCAGAUUAUGACCUCAUAGUCAUACAAGUUAUGCUCAUCUUGGAGGAGCACAGAUUGUACUGUGAUGAUAUGGAGUUUCAAAACUAUAUACCUGUGUGGAUGCAGAUGAUGCCUCUUUUCUCUGAUCUACCUUAAUGUGGUCUGCCUUCACUCACCUCCAACAUGCAGUAACCUUAGAUUUGUGGUAGUGGAGGGGUCUGACAAGACUUUAUUGUUUUGUCAUCUAUAACAGGCUUUGUUCACUGAGAAACAGCUAUGCUGUUUUCUGCAGAGCAGCCCUUGCCCCAGGCUGUAUGACAGGUUUCUCUGGGCAGCAUCAUGGGGGGCUUUCAAGGAGGUAGAAGGGCCAUUUCCAGUGGGACUGGUGCUAGUCUCUGCUACUGCUGUCUACAUUUGUCAGGGUGGCCUUAACUGGAGUCUUCCCUGAGGUCUGCAAAAUGUGUGAAUAUGUUCCUUCUUUGAAAAGAAAAAUACACCUUUGGUGAGGGCUCAUCAUUUCUGACGAUGAGUUUGACAGAAGCUGUCUGCUCUCUUCCUUGCUUUGGAGGGAUCCUUCCUCAGGAUUAUUGCUGUUACCUGAAUCUGUCCUCAGUGGACUGCUCACUUCAAUAACAAAAGAUUUAGUGGCAGGACCUGAGUUAAGGUCUCAAAGAGAGAAACAGAGAUGGGAGAAUUAGACAGACUAGUGACUGAAGUAACUUACUAAUAUAACACUAAUGUACAGCAAUUAUACAUUUGAAUACCGUGUGUCCUUCGUUGUUCUGUUGCGAAAUCCAUUAGAUGGCAAAAGAACACAGAUUUGCACUGAUAUUUUUGAGGAAAAAUGCAAACAAGAUAUCAGUUGUAUUUCCUAUGAAAAGCAGAUUUGCAUUCUUUGGACAAGCAUUUAGGGAUGUGUAAUAUUAUUUGUAUAUCAGUCCUUAUCUGUAUAGCAUUAAUUAGAUAUGCAAAAAUUAUUAGUAUGCAAAAUAUUAGGUAUGGAACCCAUGUUUUUAUUGUGGUAAGAACCCAUAAGGAGAUACCGGUGAGCAAUGAGCUAUAAAAAUGUAAAAUAAAGUACUAGUAAUGUGUGAUUUCUAAUACUGAGCCAGUGAGUUAUAUUUCUAAACCAGAAAUACAGCCUUUCUGUUCUUCUCCCCUCCCCUGGGUUUCAUCUAAUAUUGGGCCAUAAAUCGUGAGAUCUGUAAGUAAAACAAAAUCCAUGGAAAAUAAAGAGACAGUAAAAUAAAUCAUAACAUGUAAGAUUCGUGAGUUAUCAAAAAACAUGUUUUUUCAGGGCUUUUUUUUU